AUUGAACGCUGGCGGCAUGCCUUACACAUGCAAGUCGAACGGCAGCACGGGGGUAACCCGUCGUGGCGAGUGGCGAACGGGUAGAGUAAUAUAUCGGAACAAUGCCCUCGUGGGCGGGGGAGUAACGCGUCGAAAGAAUGUGCUAAUACCGCAUACGCUCUACGGAGGAAAGCGGGGUUUUCGGGGUCAACUGAGGACCUCGCACUAUAGGAGUGGCCGAUAUCGGAUUA
rnacentral:rRNA from 1 species